rnacentral:rRNA from 1 species
GAUGAACGCUGGCGGCGUGCCUAAUACAUGCAAGUCGAGCGAACAGACGAGGAGCUUGCUCCUCUGACGUUAGCGGCGGACGGGUGAGUAACACGUGGAUAACCUACCUAUAAGACUGGGAUAACUUCGGGAAACCGGAGCUAAUACCGGAUAAUAUAUUGAACCGCAUGGUUCAAUAGUGAAAGACGGUUUUGCUGUCACUUAUAGAUGGAUCCGCGCCGCAUUAGCUAGUUGGUAAGGUAACGGCUUACCAAGGCAACGAUGCGUAGCCGACCUGAGAGGGGGAUCGGCGACACUGGAACUGAGACACGUUCAGACUCCUACGGGAGGCAGCAGUAGGGAAUCUUCCGCAAUGGGCGAAAGCCUGACGGAGCAACGCCGCGUGAGUGAUGAAGGUCUUCGGAUCGUAAAACUCUGUUAUUAGGGAAGAACAAAUGUGUAAGUAACUAUGCACGUCUUGACGGUACCUAAUCAGAAAGCCACGGCUAACUACGUG